rnacentral:lncRNA from 1 species
CGGGUGUGGGAGGGGGGUGGGGGGUGGGGGUGGGGGGUAUCGGGGAAACUGGGGAAGAUGGGAGAGCUGGAGGAGAGUCGUGGGGUCCGAGGAGCACCUCGGCAUCUGGAGUCUGGCAGGAAUGUUGAAGGACUGAGGGGCUAGCUCAGGCAGAGCAAAGGCAUCGCAAAGGCUGGAAAACAUCGGAGUGAAGCUGAAGGGCCUGAGCUAGGGUUGGAGAGGAAUGGGGAGCCAGACAUUCAUCCCGGUUACUUUUGGUUACAGGACGUGGCGGCUGGUCGGAUAAAGGGGAGCUGCUGGGAAGGGUUCGACCCCAGACCUGGGCAGUGAAGGUAUAGCUGGCAGCAGUGGGCAGGUGAGGACCGCCGUCUGCUGGGCAGGUGAGUCUCCUUCUUCUCUCUUGGCCUCGCUCCACUGACCUUCUAAACGAAGGUUUAGAGAGGGGGCCUGGUGAGAAGAAGCGGCUGGCCUCGCAGCAGAAUGGCACAUAGAAAGGCAGGAUAGUUAGCAAAGGAGACAUCGUCUCGGGGGGAGCCGAGACAGAAGGAGGCUGGGGGACCAUUGGCGACCCCAGGUGGAAAGAGCUCUUAGAGAGAAGAAAGAAGAGGUGCAGGGUUGCCAGUAAAGACUGAGGCCGCUGCCUCCAGGGAGGUGAUAGGAGUCCUUGGAGACAGUGGCAGAGACCAUGGGAUCCAGCAAGAACAGAAGCAUUCUAGGCUGGGGUCAAACAGGGCAAGAUGGGGUCACAAGACACAGAUGGGUCCCCAGCCGCCACAACAUCCCACCCACCGUAAUUCACUUAGAAGAAGGUUCAAGAGUGGCUCUGGCAAAGUCCCAAGUUUGCCAGAGCCUCAAUAACUGGAGAAUGGAAAAGAAGGGCAGUGCAGGGUGUCACCAGAAGGGGAGUGGGGGCUGCAGGUAUCGGACUCCAGAGGGAUUUUACAGCAAGGAGGCUGCAGUGGGUCCAGCCUGCAGACACACCAUUCCCAUGAGGCACUGCGGCCCAGGGACUGGUGCGGAAAGGGCCCACAGUGGACUUGGUACACUGUAUGCCCUAACCGCUCAGUCCCUGGGUCUGGCAUGACAGACAGAACAUUUCCAGGGGAGUCAAGGGCACAGGAUGAAGCCAGACGAGGCGAGGCAGGCGGGGCAGAAUGAAUGAGUUUCUAGGGAGGGAGGUUGGGUGCAGGUAGAGCGAGUAGCUGGGGUGGUGAGCCAGGGAGGCACUGGCCUCCAGAGUCCGUGGCCAAGGAGGGCCUUGCGGGCGGCGACGGAGCAGUGAUCGGUGUCUCGAAGAGCUCGGACUGGAGACUAGGCCAGGUCUCCAGCAGAGGUGGAUGUGCCUGCCAGUCACUGAAGGCGAGGAUGACAGGUGUGGUCAAUGUGACAGAAAGACAUGACAUGGUCCGGUGUGAUGGAGAGGACAGAAGGGCAGUCAUCCAGCCUUCUUCCUUUGCAGAACACCAUGGGCUGGCGCCUUGUCGUAGAAGCCGUCUGUUCUUUCACUUUUCCCAAAGAGCUAACACUUCUCUGCUGCUCUCUGGAUCCUCCUCCCCCUACCUUGAACCCUCAAGAUGAAAGGUGAGUUCUCUUCUGCCCCAUGUGGGUGGGAGAGGGUGGGAUGCCAAGGACAGGGGUCUCAUUCUCUCCCACCCAUAGAAAUGGUGCUACCCAGCUCAUGUCUGGGCCUUUGAAUCCGGGGACUUCUUUAAGUCCGUCUCGUUCUGAAUCAAGAAGAUGCUGCAAUCAGAACCACUACACUACCUGCCUCAGGAAUCUGCUCCAAGGUGAAGCUGAAAGAACAGAUGGUGUCAACAUUUUGAAAGAGCAGACUCAUAGCACCCACCCACCCCUGAGAAUCCAUCUUCAUGGCCAACUCUGCCUGACCCGGGAGACCACCACCCACAUCAUCCUGGAGCCAAGCCUCUACCCCGGGAUGACUUCAUCAUCUCCCUCCUGUCUUUUUCUUCUUCCUCCUUUCCUGUAAUUCUGUUUCUUUCCUUUUGUUCCUUCCUUGCUUGAGAGACUCAAAGCACCCGUGACUCUGUUUCCCCAUUUACCCCCUUUUGAAUUUGCACUAAGUCGAUUGCACUGGUUUGGAGUCCCGGAGAUAGCUUUGAGUCUCUCCGUAUGAAUGUAUACAGCGAGUGUGUAAACCUCUUUGGCAAUGCUGCCCCAGUACCCACCUGUCGUCCAUCUCCGUCUGAGGGCAACUGGGUGUGGCCGUGUGCUUGAGGCCUCGCCUUCCCCUCGCCUAGUCUGGAAGCAGUUCCAUCAUAAAGUGUUCAACAUGCCCUACUUCAUCCUUUGCCCCUCCUCACCAGGGCCUCACCAGAGGUCCUGGGUCCAUCAAUAAAUACAGUUACAGUCAU